rnacentral:tRNA from 1 species
UGGCUCAGAGGUUAAAGCAUCUGCCUACAAUGCAGGAGACCUGGGUUCAAUCCCUG